rnacentral:sRNA from 1 species
UGCCUAAACUGCCCAUAUAUACGUAUUACGGUAUUACGUUGUGUGCGCAGCAUGGCAAAAAGUCGAGUUAAGCAUAAAAACCCCAUCAUAGGGUCGCUUAACUCGCCAUACAGGGAAACUUGUAUGAGAGCCCUCGGGCUCU